rnacentral:ncRNA from 1 species
CAUAUAAUUUCUUAUAUGGGGUAGACUAUACCUCAAGCCAUUAUAAAAAUGACCCAUUGACAUCUAGUCGUUGAAUAUCAUACUUGAUUAAAGUACUUAACUGCUGAUUAUCUAAAUUAUGAAAUUAUCACAUACAGUAUUCAUAAUUAUCUAGAUUUUCCAGCAAUUUGACAAUGUUGCAAGCAAAUGCUUACUAAUAGUUUAAACUAUUUUUGAACUCUAAUGGUUUAAAGUUCCCGC